UUGUGCGUGACGUCGGUGUCUUUCAUUGCCAUGUGUAAGAGAGAGGCUGUCACUUUUGUGCGCAAUGCGUGUGCUUCGACGUCUCUCACGCCUUUACGUAUAUUGUGUUCCCGACAAUCAAGUGAGCCGCCUGGCAUCUUUCUCGCCACUUGAAAAGCCGAAAAAGAAACGAUAAGGCCCACCUAAAGUAUCUGCUGUCACUUUCAAACCAGCAUGGGUCCUUUCAUCAAGCAUUUUCUGGAGGGCAUCUGCUUCACUUCUCGACCUGGUGUGUUCUGAUAACGACUUUGAAAAGUGGCACCGGAUACAUACCCCACCAAGGUUGCCUCCUGGAAUGAUCUUUAUUAUCACCGCCGUGUUGAUGGUCGCAGCAAGCUUGGUCAUAUUGUGUUGCUACUGGAUUCGACGACAACACAGCAUACAAUAUACCAGUCCCCACAUUCCACCAACGCUAGCACCAGCUGUGUCUCCGGUGACAUCGGGAGUUAGGAUGCAGUCUUCCCAGCGAAUGCAUUCGCUGGUGCCUGGAGCAGCUCAGUCUCCGGCGGCAUCGCACCCUCAACCGCCGUACUACCAACAGCCAGCCGUUCCUUACCCCCAGGAACUCCCCUACAUGGGUAACAACGCGGCACCACUGGUACAGCCGUCCGCUGCACUGUACUCAUCGCCAUCUGUGCCAUUUGAUCCACCCCCACCUUAUGUCAGCCCAAGCAUACCGCCUGAAACCCAUUUCAGAAAGUCGUAAAUGAACUCAACGAGGAAUGGCAAUCAGACAUGCGUUGAACUGUCACGAUGGCUUGUUGCGCUGCUAAGCACGAGGUCGUGGGUUCGAUUUCUACUUGAAUUUAGCUGACGACCAAUGCCGUGGAACGCCUGGAGGAUCGCCAAUGGGCUCUAAUGGUCGUGGUCAAAAGGUGCUGAAAAAAAAGUGGCAUCAUCUAGGUGACAUAACUAGUUGGAACAUUUGAAGGAGUGAAUCUUUAAUGUCAACAAACGUGGUUAGCACACUUCAGUGACCAGAAGGCAUUAUUUUGAACUGAUAAAGCCCGUAAAGUGUUACAACGUAUAUACGCAAAGGUUAUGUGAAUAAGAAUUGUAAUUUAACACAUAUUAUACACAUAGUGUCUAAUCGUUAUACAUAUAGUAUC